rnacentral:rRNA from 1 species
AGUGAACGCUGGCGGCAGGCCUAACACAUGCAAGUCGAACGGCAGCACAGUAGGAGCUUGCUCUUAUGGGUGGCGAGUGGCGGACGGGUGAGGAAUACAUCGGAAUCUACUCUUUCGUGGGGGAUAACGUAGGGAAACUUACGCUAAUACCGCAUACGACCUACGGGUGAAAGCGGAGGACCUUCGGGCUUCGCGCGAUUGAAUGAGCCGAUGUCGGAUUAGCUAGUUGGCGGGGUAAAGGCCCACCAAGGCGACGAUCCGUAGCUGGUCUGAGAGGAUGAUCAGCCACACUGGAAAUGAGACACGGUCCAGACUCCUACGGGAGGCAGCAGUGGGGAAUAUUGGACAAUGGGCGCAAGCCUGAUCCAGCCAUGCCGCGUGGGUGAAGAAGGCCUUCGGGUUGUAAAGCCCUUUUGUUGGGAAAGAAAAGCAGUCGGUUAAUACCCGAUUGUUCUGACGGUACCCAAAGAAUAAGCACCGGCUAACUUCGUGCCAGCCGCCGCCGUAA